rnacentral:rRNA from 1 species
UUAAGCGACUAAGCGUACACGGUGGAUGCCCUGGCAGUCAGAGGCGAUGAAGGACGUGCUAAUCUGCGAUAAGCGUCGGUGAGGUGAUAUGAACCGUUAUAACCGGCGAUUUCCGAAUGGGGAAACCCAGUGUGUUUCGACACACUAUCAUUAACUGAAUCCAUAGGUUAAUGAGGCGAACCGGGGGAACUGAAACAUCUAAGUACCCCGAGGAAAAGAAAUCAACCGAGAUUCCCCCAGUAGCGGCGAGCGAACGGGGAGGAGCCCAGAGCCUGAAUCAGUGUGUGUGUUAGUGGAAGCGUCUGGAAAGGCGCGCGAUACAGGGUGACAGCCCCGUACACAAAAAUGCACAUACUGUGAGCUCGAUGAGUAGGGCGGGACACGUGGUAUCCUGUCUGAAUAUGGGGGGACCAUCCUCCAAGGCUAAAUACUCCUGACUGACCGAUAGUGAACCAGUACCGUGAGGGAAAGGCGAAAAGAACCCCGGCGAGGGGAGUGAAAAAGAACCUGAAACCGUGUACGUACAAGCAGUGGGAGCCUCUUAAUGGGGUGACUGCGUACCUUUUGUAUAAUGGGUCAGCGACUUAUAUUCUGUAGCAAGGUUAACCGAAUAGGGGAGCCGAAGGGAAACCGAGUCUUAACUGGGCGUUAAGUUGCAGGGUAUAGACCCGAAACCCGGUGAUCUAGCCAUGGGCAGGUUGAAGGUUGGGUAACACUAACUGGAGGACCGAACCGACUAAUGUUGAAAAAUUAGCGGAUGACUUGUGGCUGGGGGUGAAAGGCCAAUCAAACCGGGAGAUAGCUGGUUCUCCCCGAAAGCUAUUUAGGUAGCGCCUCGUGAAUUCAUCUCCGGGGGUAGAGCACUGUUUCGGCAAGGGGGUCAUCCCGACUUACCAACCCGAUGCAAACUGCGAAUACCGGAGAAUGUUAUCACGGGAGACACACGGCGGGUGCUAACGUCCGUCGUGAAGAGGGAAACAACCCAGACCGCCAGCUAAGGUCCCAAAGUCAUGGUUAAGUGGGAAACGAUGUGGGAAGGCCCAGACAGCCAGGAUGUUGGCUUAGAAGCAGCCAUCAUUUAAAGAAAGCGUAAUAGCUCACUGGUCGAGUCGGCCUGCGCGGAAGAUGUAACGGGGCUAAACCAUGCACCGAAGCUGCGGCAGCGACGCUUAUGCGUUGUUGGGUAGGGGAGCGUUCUGUAAGCCUGUGAAGGUGGCCUGUGAGGGUUGCUGGAGGUAUCAGAAGUGCGAAUGCUGACAUAAGUAACGAUAAAGCGGGUGAAAAGCCCGCUCGCCGGAAGACCAAGGGUUCCUGUCCAACGUUAAUCGGGGCAGGGUGAGUCGACCCCUAAGGCGAGGCCGAAAGGCGUAGUCGAUGGGAAACAGGUUAAUAUUCCUGUACUUGGUGUUACUGCGAAGGGGGGACGGAGAAGGCUAUGUUGGCCGGGCGACGGUUGUCCCGGUUUAAGCGUGUAGGCUGGUUUUCCAGGCAAAUCCGGAAAAUCAAGGCUGAGGCGUGAUGACGAGGCACUACGGUGCUGAAGCGACAAAUGCCCUGCUUCCAGGAAAAGCCUCUAAGCAUCAGGUAACAUUAAAUCGUACCCCAAACCGACACAGGUGGUCAGGUAGAGAAUACCAAGGCGCUUGAGAGAACUCGGGUGAAGGAACUAGGCAAAAUGGUGCCGUAACUUCGGGAGAAGGCACGCUGAUAUGUAGGUGAAGCGACUUGCUCGUGGAGCUGAAAUCAGUCGAAGAUACCAGCUGGCUGCAACUGUUUAUUAAAAACACAGCACUGUGCAAACACGAAAGUGGACGUAUACGGUGUGACGCCUGCCCGGUGCCGGAAGGUUAAUUGAUGGGGUUAGCGGUAACGCGAAGCUCUUGAUCGAAGCCCCGGUAAACGGCGGCCGUAACUAUAACGGUCCUAAGGUAGCGAAAUUCCUUGUCGGGUAAGUUCCGACCUGCACGAAUGGCGUAAUGAUGGCCAGGCUGUCUCCACCCGAGACUCAGUGAAAUUGAACUCGCUGUGAAGAUGCAGUGUACCCGCGGCAAGACGGAAAGACCCCGUGAACCUUUACUAUAGCUUGACACUGAACAUUGAGCCUUGAUGUGUAGGAUAGGUGGGAGGCUUUGAAGUGUGGACGCCAGUCUGCAUGGAGCCGACCUUGAAAUACCACCCUUUAAUGUUUGAUGUUCUAACGUGGGCCCCUUACCGGGGUUGCGGACAGUGUCUGGUGGGUAGUUUGACUGGGGCGGUCUCCUCCUAAAGAGUAACGGAGGAGCACGAAGGUUGGCUAAUCCUGGUCGGACAUCAGGAGGUUAGUGCAAUGGCAUAAGCCAGCUUGACUGCGAGCGUGACGGCGCGAGCAGGUGCGAAAGCAGGUCAUAGUGAUCCGGUGGUUCUGAAUGGAAGGGCCAUCGCUCAACGGAUAAAAGGUACUCCGGGGAUAACAGGCUGAUACCGCCCAAGAGUUCAUAUCGACGGCGGUGUUUGGCACCUCGAUGUCGGCUCAUCACAUCCUGGGGCUGAAGUAGGUCCCAAGG